AGUUAGCAGUGGCGCUACGGAGGCCGGGUGGCCGAAGAGGGACAAAAAUGUAGUCCAUCCCCUAUAUGUGAUUGACGUGUGGAUCCCUGUGGAGGAGCAUACAAAUAAAAGCGAGCAGGAAGACGUUGGGGCUGUUUCAGGAGACUUGGCUGUGAAGACCUCAUGGAUCAUAAAGCCCCAAAGUCCUUUUCUGAAGCAUUUUCCGUUGUCUUCUGCAAGGGUUGGCUACGUGCAGAUUCUUAUGGGUCGGCCCCCUCAGGAAAAAUGAGCAGCAUUUCUGGGCUACUUGAAUCCCUAGAAGAAAAAGAAAACUGCAGUAGCAGAACAAAUACUGUCUUUGGAUACUGACUAAAGGAGAUAGUGAAAAACCUCUUUCGGUCGUCUUUCAUAUCUUGGCUUUAUAAACAUUUCACAUUACUUAAAGAGGAUCACCUAAGUAAAGUGAAAGGAGGCAUUCCUAAAUUCCUCCCACCCGUCAAGAGAGAGACGUAAGACAGGAGACAAAGUAAGAAACCGAGAACAAGCGCGAUCACCCAUGGAGGAGAGUAGUUUUCUUGAGUGAAAGCCACCAUGCCAGUGUUCUUAAAUAACCCAUGGUUUAUACAUAGUUGAUGCUGUUUUGAAGGUCUCUGCUGUGAUGUGGUAUGCAACCUGUGGCCUCUGUUUCCAAAGCUGUUCAUUUCGUUUUUUCAAGUGCGGUUGGAACCUGUAGGUCUUACUUCACAAGGGACAUUUAUUUUCUAAUAUGAGGUUCAGUGAUUCACUAAGUGAUGGAAAUUUCUUACCCAUCUGUCAAAUAUAUGUCAGACAAUUUGGUUUGUAAACUAGGUAGUCAGCAUCCCUGUGCCCUUGUUCUCUCUUGAAAUGUCUGCAGAGUAAGGUAAUGAUGUUAACCUGCUGUUAAGGUUUGAUCUUUUAUUGUGUACUGUAAUGCCAACUGUGGGCCCCCAAGACCUGGUUGCCUCAGAGACAAGAGAAUCCACAUGUAGACCCAAGUGACACUAUGUGACCCUUCCCCACAAGUUAUUUCUAAUGGAUGAAUAAAAAUGCUGACAGCCAAUAGCUGGGCAGGUGAGACAGGCUGGGCAAGCCGGAGGUCAGGGAAGAACCACAAGGGAGAGAAGAAGGUGGAGGAGGAAGGAGAAGCCUUCAUGGGUUAGGUGAGUUCAUGAAAACAUAGCCCUAAGGGCCGGCCAAUUGGAGUUAAGAGCAGCCCAGAUGAAACAUAGUAAGUAAUAACGGGGUUAUUGAUAGGAAAGUAGAUUCUAAUAGCAUAGAGGGUAGAUAUCUAUCUGCCCAGCUCUUGUGCUAUUUAAGGCUUAUUGUAAAUAUAAAGGUUGUACUUGUCAUUUACCCAGGAACUAAAUGGUCAAAGCCCAGGUAUAAACGCCAGAUUGGAGUAAAAAUUUCUACAACAGUCUGCUUUUCCGACUCUGGUCCUCAUAGAUGACCUAAUAUAAUGCUGUCCCAUGCCAGACUCGUCUUAAGAGGCAUGUAUGUUUCAGAAACAAAAUGUUCCUCCCACCCCACUCCCCACAAAGAAGCACAGGAGUAUCUGUAAUGUAACAACUACAACAUGGGUGUGUUUGCUUUUCCACAUAUGGAGUAACUGGCCAAGUUAGUGACUUCUCAAAUGUCUUGGCUAUUUGGGCAGCAGAAGUGGAGCUCAGGCCUCUGGAACACACUCUUAGUUGCUGCACAAUCUACAUUGUCCUAGUUAGAGUCACUAUUGCUAUGAUGAACUACCAUCCCAUUUACCUGUGAAUUUCAUGAAAUUAUUGUUUUUAAUAGCUGAGUAGUACUCCAUGGUGUAAAUGUACCACAUUUUCUGUAUCCAUUCCUCUAUUGAGGGACAUCUGGCUUCUUUCCAGCUUCUGGCUAUUAUAAAUAAGGCUGCUAUGAACAUAGUGGAGCAUGUGUCCUUGCUAUAUGUUGGAGCAUCUUUUGGGUAUAUGCCCAGGAGUGGUAUAGCUGGGUUAUUAGGUAGAACUAUUUCCAGUUUCCACCAGACUGAUUUCCAGAGUGGUUGUACCAGCUUGCAAUCCCACCAGUAAUAGAGGAGUGUUCCUUUUUCUCCACAUCCUCACUAGCAUCUACUGUCACCUGAGUUUUUGAUCUUAGCCAUUCUGACUGGUGUGAGGUGGAAUCUCAGGGUUGUUUUGAUUUGCAUUUCUCUAAUGACUAAGGAUGUUGAACAUUUGUUUGGGUGCUUUUUGACCAUUUGAGAUACUUCAGUUGAGAAUCUCUGUUUAGCUCUGUACUCCAUUUUUAGUAGGGUUAUUUGGUUCUCUGGGGUCUAACUUCUUCAGUUCUUUGAAUAUUUUGGAUAUUAACCCUCUAUCGAAUGUAGGGUUGGUAAAGAUCUUUUCCUAAUCUGUGGAUUGCUGUCACAGGACUGCAGCAGAGUGCUAGCUUAACAACCCCUUUCAUUGUUCAUAAUCAUUUACUAAUGUGUUAAGUUUUUACUUCAAAGGAUAUUUUAUAAGCCAUAGUUACCCUUUGUUUCUGUAGAUAUAUAUGACUAGUUAGCCACUAGUUAGAUAUACAUGACUAGUUAAGUAGUUAGGUGUUAGGACACACUUCCAUAUAACUUUUUUUUAAGCCAGCCAUGUUGUGCCCUGUAUCUCUAUAGUGCAUUACUGGAAAUGGCGUGUGAAUCCCCUACCCCUAGUAGCACUUCUCCCCUAUACCUGUGAAAACAGGAACAGUACUCUCCUUUAGGAAGAGCCCCAAUUGAGCACCAUUUCACUCAAGAUAAACCCUCCCACUCAGUGGGAACUAACAAGCCCUAGUGUGUCAGUUGGAAUAAUCAUAUGCAUCUUCAGAGACCUAUUAAAUGACCAGAAGUCUCUGGAAAAAAAUUCUUUCUCAGGAGCUUAGGAAGUUAUUGUGAUUAUCAUCAUUAUUAGAUUUCAGAGUCUUGCUAUUAAACCAACAAAUCUCUCCUUGACUGAGUUCACACUUUGUCCUUCCCUUCCCUUCCAGUGAUCUUUGCACUGAGGGCAAACUGUUAGAAAGGCAUUGGAGUUUCUUGACCUCACAGCUUGUGAAGUGUUUUGAGAUGAAUAUAGAAGCACACUGUCAAGCAACGGUGGGAAUUAGGUUCUGCUUACAAAGCUCAUAUGAGUAUUCAAGAUGUAUUAUUUUAAUCUUUGCAAUGACAGCAGAAAAAAACUAAUGGUUUAUGAUAAGAAGAGUUUGUAUGCCUGUGUGUGCUGAGGUGUUACAAUGCACUUGUCUAUAAAUCAAUAUAUUGC
rnacentral:lncRNA from 1 species